CCAGAACCAAAUUAAUUUCAAAACCUCUACUCUUCGCCGCUGGAGUUCUCCUCUGUACGCCACCGUCAACAGUUCUUCUCCUCUGCCUCUCGCCGGAGUUCGCCGGUGGUUCGUCGGACCUCUGCCUCUUCGAGUUCACUUUGAUUCGCGACUCUGUCUCUCUGCCUCGACCUCCCAUUCUUGCCGCAGGAGUAUCUCUCUUUUUCGGUUCUCUUCUUCUUUCGUCGGUGGCUCGCCGGAGCUCAUCGAUUGAGAUAAGCCUCCUCCUUGCCCUUGGUUCUGCCAUUAGUAUAUUCUGAGUUCUAAGUUUUCUCCUGAGUUUUGUUAUCUGGGUUUUUUCUAUUUUGUUGAUUUGUUCUGUUUUGUUCUGUCAAAGAACUUCUGACUUCUGAGUUUUCUUCUAUUUUUUUCAAACUGAACCUUUAGUUUUGGAUGUGCUUUUCGAACCAUUGCAUAACCCAGUUUCAGGAAAGAUGAAAAGGUGCGGAAUUUUAAAAUCUCUCAGUAUUUAACUCUUCAUUUCGAUGGAUCCUGCUACCUAGUUCUUGAGAGAUUAUUAUCUCUGGUGGGAUCCAAGGAAGGAAUAAGAGAUGCGCCUGGUUGUGAAUUAUUGUUGGAAGGCGAUGCAAACCUCGGAGAGCCAGAAAGGCAGCGACGUGCAGGCGAAUCAGACCUUGUGGGAGAAGAAGACACGAUCCUUCGCGCCUCUUGUAACCACUCUUGAGUCAACCUCGCACUGUUACUUCUUGUGCUAUCAUCAAACCCAACAUCGUCCUCAUCGUCCAAAACAACACUGCUACCACCAGUGAAGUCAUAGUUCUUCUUGUAAAUGUCAGCAGCCCCAAAAAACAUGUCGUUCAUGAAAUCCGUGAGGUCCGGUGCUGGUUCUGCCUUUCGCCGCGUCUCUAUCAUCCUCUUUUGUAGGCUCACACCACCUUUGCUUUCUCUAUUAAAUCUUCGCUCCAUAUCACUCAAUCUCUCUGAUGUAAUCAAGGAUAGUUAUAGUCUUAUAUAUAGAUAUAUGUAGCGAACUCGAUUAAUAUUGAGAAGUUGGGGAGAUGGGGUUAAAGGAAUAUAUAGCUAUAUUAAGGAUAUUGUGAUGAUGGGUACAAACAUUCUCAACAUUGUAGCUGGAUGCAUAGAAAACAUCAGUUUGACUUUGCAUGUAAUAAGAAUUUUGGCCGGCGUACGUUGUGGCCAUGGUUCCUGUCUUGUUCUUGGAGUGUUUGUCCGUGUUUCAUACAAUGCAUUCGGAUGUUAUUUAGUUGGGUAAAAAUAAUGUUUUCAUC